rnacentral:tRNA from 1 species
GCCUGGGUGGCUUAGUCUGUUGAGCAUCUGACUUCAGUUCAGGUCACGAUCUCGCCAUCCGUGGGUUCGAGCCCUGCAUUGGGCU